AUAUUGCUCUAUAUGUUGUUGAAGAAGGGAGCUGACAGAAAUCUUACUGCCUGGUGACAGGUGUUACACGCUGGCCGUGGAUACCUGUGGGACCUUCUCAGUUCACUGCAGGCUAUUCUUUUGUAAAUCACAGCCACCAUUCAUUCUUUACUAGUUUCCGAUGAAUAUGCACAAUUCCACUGAAUCAUAGUGUCGUCCUGGGUGUUGAUGUAGUAGAAGCUGACUCUGGAUCAUCUAUGAGAGGAAGGAGUAGAAGAGAAAUAGAAAACGAGAUUAAGACUUUCCCCCUCAAGGGCAAGAAGGGAGCCCAUAGAAACGAGUCGUCGCACCAAAUCUAAGCUGACUGAUAUUUCCGAAGAGGGGACAUGAGGGGUCACUCUUAUAUAGGGGCAGCGAUAUCAUAUUCCAGAAGCAUCAGAGGAAACCAAUACCUGGAGUGACCUCUUUGCAGUCUCGCUUUAACUAGUCUCCAGCUAUAAUUGAAAAGAAUGCAGGUAAUUUCUGAAGCAUCAUAGUUGCAGAAGUGCUCGUCGUCCUUCGGAUCUUGUGUGCUUCCUGGGUCCCUGCCUGGUACACUCUUUCCUCAGGUCGCACUUGUCACAUCCUCAGGUAAUAUCAGCUACAACGUCUGCCUGCCCUGGCCUCUCUCUUACUCUCCCACAUUGCACUCAUUGCCACCCAAGCUAAAGAUACCGACAAUCUAGAAAAUGCCAUAAGCAAAAAUACUGUUAAUCUAGUCAUUUUAAAAUUUGUUGGAAUAAAGACCUAUAAGAUACAGUAGAGUUAUAAA